rnacentral:rRNA from 1 species
AUUGAACGCUGGCGGCAUGCCUUACACAUGCAAGUCGAACGGAUUUUGGGGCUUGCUCCAAAGUUAGUGGCGAACGGGUGAGUAAAGCAUCGGAACGUACCCAGUCGUGGGGGAUAACGUAGCGAAAGUUACGCUAAUACCGCAUACGAUCUGAGGAUGAAAGCGGGGGACCUUCGGGCCUCGCGCGAUUGGAGCGGCCGAUGUCGGAUUAGCUAGUUGGUGAGGUAAAGGCUCACCAAGGCGACGAUCCGUAGCUGGUCUGAGAGGACGACCAGCCACACUGGGACUGAGACACGGCCCAGACUCCUACGGGAGGCAGCAGUGGGGAGUUUUGGACAAUGGGCGAAAGCCUGAUCCAGCCAUGCCGCGUGAGUGAAGAAGGCCUUCGGGUUGUAAAGCUCUUUCAGACGGAAAGAAAUCUCUCGGGUGAAUAUCCCGGGAGGAUGACGGUACCGUAAGAAGAAGCACCGGCUAACUACGUGCCAGCAGCCGCAGUAA